GGAGGGUUCGCAUAGUGGUCUAGUGCGCACGCUUGGAAAGCGUGUGUGUCGCAAGGCACCGAGGGUUCGAAUCCCUCACCCUCCGCCU
rnacentral:tRNA from 4 species